rnacentral:rRNA from 1 species
CUGGGCUAUGGUGAUCAUCCCAGGGUGAGUCGGUCCUAAGGCGAGGCUGAAAGGCGUAGUCGAUGGACAAGAGGUUAAUAUUCCUCUACUGCGUAUAUAUUCGAUGGAGUGACGCAUCUCUGUACCUCUUGCCCCUUAUUGGAUUGGGGUUUAGGUCUUGAGGAUGUCAUAUAGGCAAAUCCGUAUGACAAUAAUCCGAGAGAUCCGACGAUUCCGGUAGCGAUACCGGGAAAGAAGAGGGAGCGGGGUGCCAGGAAAAGCUUCUCAGGUUCGUAUAUACGUAACCGUACCGCAAACCGACACAGGUGGAUUGGUCGAGAAGACUAAGGCGAACGGGAGAGUAUUCGUUAAGGAACUAGGCAAAAAAGCUAGGCGUAAGUUUGCAAUAUGCCUUGCCGGUUCUCUUCGGAGAGUCGGCCGCAGCGAAAGUUUUCCAAGCGACUGUUUACCAAAAACACAGCUCUCUGCAAACCCGUAAGGGGAAGUACAGGGGGUGACACCUGACCAGUGCUAGCUCGUUAACGGGAGCGGUUCACGCCAAUCCCCGAAGCGCUAGUGAACGUCGGCGAUAACUAUAAUCGUCCUAAGGUUCCGGAAAUUUCCUCGGAAGUUUUCGGAAGGACUGGGACGGUUAUAGGAAUGUGUGAAGAAAUGUGGAAGAAAAGGAAAAGUAAUUGCUUCUUUCGGAGAAAUCCGGAAGGUCCAAAAAUACUUAGCCAUAUGCUGGAACAUCUGGAGUAUCUGAUGAUACUAUGGUAAAAUUAUUCCAUAGAAAUAUGGAAGAGUGAUGCCGAGUGAAAAAUCAAUCAGUGUGUCUCGCUUCAAUCGUGAGACGCCAGACAAUCAGCAGGAAAGACUGAAGACCGUUGGCUGGGUCAUCGGGUAUGUGGAUGGGGAAGGAUGUUUUUCAGUGAGUCUGCUCAGGAAUGCCACCACGAAAAGUGGUUGGCAGACAUUUCCGGAGUUUGUGGUGACACAAAGCGGAAAGAGUAAGGCUUCAUUGGAAAUAUUGCGAGAUUUCUUCGGAUGCGGGAAGAUAUUUGUGAAUCGACGGUAUGAUAACCACCGAGAGCACAUCUAUCGAUACUGUGUCCGAUCACAAGAGGAACUUCGCGAAAAGAUCAUUCCUUUCUUUAUGGAAAAUCCGCUCCGAACCGCCAAACAAAAAGAUUUCGAGCAUUUUUCUUUUAUCCUCAAUCAGAUGAGACUCAAACGACAUCUGACGGAGACUGGUAUGCAUAUGAUUGCCAGAAGGAUUGAGAAAAUGAAUCACAAGAAAGCUUCCCGGUUUUUAGAAUCCUCAGAGACCAAAUGCUAAGCGCGUAAUCGAUACGUGAAAAGAGAGUCCGUGCUCAUCGGCGACGAUGAGAAUAACACUACAGAGCGAAAUUCCUUGACAGGUAAGUUCUGUCCCGCAUGAAAGGUGUAACGAUUUGGAAACUGUCUCAACGAACAUCCCGGUGAAAUUGCAAUGACGGUAAAGAUGCCGUCGACCUGCAGCAAGACGAAAAGACCCCAUGGAGCUUUACUAUAACUUGGUAUUGACUUAAAGUUUUUGUUGCCGAGCAUAGGUGGAAGACUUUGAAGCGCCCCUUCCGGGGGGCGUGGAGUCGACAAUUGGAAUACCACCCUGCAGAGAUUUUAAUUCUAACCUGCCGCCGUAAUCCGGCGGGGGGACAGUGCCUGGCGGGUAGUUUGACUGGGGCGGUCGCCUCCUAAAGAGCAACGGAGGCGUUUACUAAGGUUGGCUAGGUCCGGAUGGAAAUCGGGCCGAUAGCGCAAAAGCACAAGCCAGCUUUACUGAGAGACCGAUCAGUUAAUCAGUUACGAAAGUAGAAUUUAGUGAACCGACCAUCACUCGUAGGAGUGUGGAAGAUCAUCAGAUAAAAGUUACCCUGGGGAUAACAGGCUGAUCUUGCCCAAGAGUCCAUAUCGACGGCAAGGUUUGGCACCUCGAUGUCGGCUCAUCGCAUCCUGGGGGUGGAGAAGCUCCCAAGGGUUUGGCUGUUCGCCAAUUAAAGCGGUACGCGAGCUGGGUUCAAACCGUCGUGAGACAGGUUGGUUUCCUAUCUGCUGUGGGCGUGUGUGACUUGAGAGAGCUCUUUCCUAGUACGAGAGGACCGGAAAGAACAAACCUCUGGUGUACGAGCUGUUCCGCCAGGAGCACUGCUCGGUAGCUAUGUUUGGGUAGGAUAACCGCUGAAAGCAUCUAAGCGGGAAGCCAAACUCAAGAUAAGGUCACGGUUCUGAUUUAUCAGAACAAGAUUCCCUGGAAGAUGACCAGGUUGAUAGGCCGCAGGUGGAAGCGUGGUGACACGUUAAGCCAAGCGGUACUAAU